rnacentral:tRNA from 1 species
CACUAAGAAGCUUUAGGACAAGCAACAGCCUUUUAAGUUGUAGACAGGUGCCCCCAACCACCCUUAGUGA